ACGCUGGCGGCACGCCUAACACAUGCAAGUCGAGCGAGAAAGUGACUUCGGUCGCGAGUAAAGCGGCGAACGGGUGAGUACAACGUGGAUAACCUACCCUAAGGUCUGGGACAACCCCGAGAAAUCGGGGCUAAUACCGGAUAAGACCACAGUAUCCAAGGAUACAGCGGUAAAAGAUUUAUCGCCUUUGGAUGAGUCCACGCCCCAUCAGGUAGUUGGUAAGGUAAAGGCUUACCAAGCCUAAGACGGGUAGCCGGCCUUAGCGGGUGAACGGCCACAUGGGGACUGAGACACGGCCCUGACUCCUACGGGAGGCAGCAGUGGGGAAUAUUGGGCAAUGGGCGAAAGCCUGACCCAGCGAUGCCGCGUGAGGGAUGAAGGCCUUCGGGUUGUAAACCUCUGUCAGGAGGGACGAUGGGACUUUGUCUUGACGGUACCUCCAGAGGAAGCCCCGGCUAACUCCGUGCCAGCAGCCGCGGUAAUACGGAGGGGGCAAGCGUUGCUCGGAAUUACUGGGCGUAAAGGGUCCGCAGGCUGUCAGGCAAGUUGGUUGUGAAAUCCCAAGGCUUAACCUUGGAAUUGCAUCCAAAACUGCCUGACUAGAGUCCAAGAGAGGUUGGGCGGAAUUCCCCGG
rnacentral:rRNA from 1 species